rnacentral:rRNA from 1 species
GACGAACGCUGGCGGCGUGCUUAACACAUGCAAGUCGAACGGAAAGGCCCUGCUUUUGUGGGGUGCUCGAGUGGCGAACGGGUGAGUAACACGUGAGUAACCUGCCCUUGACUUUGGGAUAACUUCAGGAAACUGGGGCUAAUACCGGAUAGGAGCUCCUGCUGCAUGGUGGGGGUUGGAAAGUUUCGGCGGUUGGGGAUGGACUCGCGGCUUAUCAGCUUGUUGGUGGGGUGGUGGUUUACAAAGGUUUUACGGGUUGCCGGUCUGGGGGGGUGACCGGCCAAAUUGGGACUGAGAUACGGCCCAGACUCCUACGGGAGGCAGCAGUGGGGAAUAUUGCACAAUGGGCGGAAGCCUGAUGCAGCAACGCCGCGUGCGGGAUGACGGCCUUCGGGUUGUAAACCGCUUUCGCCUGGGACGAAGCGUGAGUGACGGUAAUGGGUAAAGAAGCACCGGGUAACUACGUG